rnacentral:rRNA from 1 species
UACGAAGGGGGCUAGCGUUGCUCGGAAUCACUGGGCGUAAAGGGCGCGUAGGCGGCCAUUCAAGUCGGAGGUGAAAGCCCAGGGCUCAACCCUGGAAUUGCCUUCGAUACUGUUUGGCUAGGGACCGGAAGAGGUAAGUGGAACUGCGAGUGUAGAGGUGAAAUUCGUAGAUAUUCGCAAGAACACCAGUGGCGAAGGCGGCUUACUGGUCCGGUUCUGACGCUGAGGCGCGAAAGCGUGGGGAGCAAACAGG